CGGAAUUCACUCCAGGCCCGUUUACCGAUCACAAGGGAAAAAAAAAACAAUUAACGUCCGAAAGAAACCAUGAGCACUUCAACGGCUGGGUCCCGUGAGCACGCCGAUUUUAGAGCAACUUGCAGGCUUUACUGGAGUCAACUGGAAAGAAUCCCAGUUUUGAAUGACAGGUCUUCACCUCUAGAUUCCGCUACUGAACUGGUCAAACAUCAGCAGUGCUCUGGAGUAUUUCUGGACCCACCUGACUCUGAUAUCCAAUUAGCAAAUCUGUCAAACUGGAUUGAGUUGGUUCUAAACUUCUAACUCCACUUGUCAUCUUGGAGUCACCUUGACUUGAGACCAUACUUAUCUUUCUCUUUCACCUCCCUCCUCUAACCAGCCAAUAUUCAUAAGUUUGAUUAUUCAACAGCUAUCAAGUGAGUUUGUACCUUCACAAGACAUAGUAGGUACCAUGGAUGGAACAGUGCAUCUCACCAUAAAAUGUGCAAGUGCAAGACCACCAUCCUCUUAAUCGCGUCAUGGAACAGUGGUUGAUAGUUGGAGGUGUGAAGCAACUGCUUCCUUCUUUGCAACAUAAUCGUGAUAGGUAUUACGUCCUUCAAAUAUGUGCAUGUGCUCUCUGAGUAAUGUCCUUGAACACUUGACCUCAGUCCCAGACUUCCUGACUUUCCUCAUCAGUAUGGUGGCAGGACAACCAUCUAUCUGGUUUCUUGGCAGCAACUCCUUAAUCCAGGUCUUCAUGCAAUUUCCUUUGCAACAAGAUGUGCCAGCUGUGAAUAGCUUGCUGCUAAUGCAUCAGUGUUAGAUUGGUGUAGGCUGGAGCCCUUCCUUAUUGUAGCCAUUUUCUCUAUUUGCCACAAAUCCACCUCAUUCAAUCACUUAGGUAGAUGAAGAGAAGUCCUAUUAUAUGCCUGGAGGUUCUAACCUAUGAUGGGGAAUUGUUUGGCACAUUUUUAUUUGCCACCAGAUUAAACUGCAUUGGCAAUUUAUAGUCACUGAGGAAAGGAUAGAAAGAUCAAAAAGCUCAUCCCUCAGUCUAAAUGUGGUUCUGAAGGACAGUGUCCAGACUGAUUUUUGACAUCCUCCAGGGGCCAAUAAAACUAAUAAUUGUCUUUGUGAUCAGUUCUUUUGAGGCUUCUCUUUUGCUGUCUGAAGAAAUUCCAUCCUAUUUGGUGAUGCCCACCAUCACAUUCUAUUGUUUGAGUCAUUAGCUAAUGCAACAGAUCCCCAGGUGAGCCAAACAAUAACAAAAUAUAAUCUGUAAAAACAAACCUUGUGAUUAAAAAAAAAAACUGGCCAUAGAUGAGAAUCUUCAAUUAAAAAGUGAAAAUAAUUGGCUCUUUAGAAGAAAAUGUCUGAAAAGCAAUGGCUGUAAGUGGAAACAAUUAUAUCAAAAUAUAUAACUUUGGUGGUUGAAGUGCUAGCUGUUCGUUAAGUUAAGGGGAAGGAAAAUAUGAAUACAAAUCUCACACUACUUAACAAUUUGUAACUGACAGUGCCUCCAAAGUCAGGAACAAACUGAAUGUAAAUAAGGUCAUGAUUGCGUUGCUAGACUCAUGGUGCAUUAAGAAAUAAAAGACUUCAACCG